GAAAGCGAAGUUUAAAUUAAACGUUUCAGUUACAUUGAAAAAUUCUCAUAAUUUGAGCGUUUUCU
rnacentral:tRNA from 1 species